rnacentral:rRNA from 1 species
GACGAACGCUGGCGGCGUGCUUAACACAUGCAAGUCGAACGGAAAGGCCCUGCUUUUGUGGGGUGCUCGAGUGGCGAACGGGUGAGUAACACGUGAGUAACCUGCCCUUGACUUUGGGAUAACUUCAGGAAACUGGGGCUAAUACCGGAUAGGAUCUCCUGCUGCAUGGUGGGGGUUGGAAAGUUUCGGCGGUUGGGGAUGGACUCGAGGCUUAUCAGCUUGUUGGUGGGGUAGUGGCUUACCAAGGCUUUGACGGGUAGCCGGCCUGAGAGGGUGACCGGCCACAUUGGGACUGAGAUACGGCCCAGACUCCUACGGGAGGCAGCAGUGGGGAAUAUUGCACAAUGGGCGGAAGCCUGAUGCAGCAACGCCGCGUGCGGGAUGACGGCCUUCGGGUUGUAAACCGCUUUCGCCUGUGACGAAGCGUGAGUGACGGUAAUGGGUAAAGAAGCACCGGCUAACUACGUG